rnacentral:rRNA from 1 species
GACAGAGGGUGCAAACGUUGCUCGGAAUUACUGGGCGUAAAGCGCGUGUAGGCGGGUCGGUAAGUGAGGUGUGAAAUCCCCGGGCUCAACCCGGGAACUGCACUUCAAACUGCCGGUCUUGAGUGCCGGAGAGGGUGGCAGAAUUCUUGGUGUAGAGGUGAAAUUCGUAGAUAUCAGGAGGAACACCGGUGGCGAAGGCGGUCACCUGGACGGCAACUGACGCUGAGACGCGAAAGCGUGGGGAGCAAACAGG